GAUGAACGCUGGCGGCGUGCCUAAUACAUGCAAGUCGAGCGAACAGACGAGGAGCUUGCUCCUCUGACGUUAGCGGCGGACGGGUGAGUAACACGUGGAUAACCUACCUAUAAGACUGGGAUAACUUCGGGAAACCGGAGCUAAUACCGGAUAAUAUAUUGAACCGCAUGGUUCAAUAGUGAAAGACGGUUUUGCUGUCACUUAUAGAUGGAUCCGCGCCGCAUUAGCUAGUUGGUAAGGUAACGGCUUACCAAGGCAACGAUGCGUAGCCGACCUGAGAGGGUGAUCGGCCACACUGGAACUGAGACACGGUCCAUACUCCUACGAGAGGCAGCAGUAGGGAAUCUUCCGCAAUGGGCGAAAGCUUGACGUAGCAACGCCGCGUGAGUGAUGAAGGUCUUCGGAUCGUAAAACUCUGUUAUUAGGGAAGAACAAAUGUGUAAGUAACUAUGCACGUCUUGACGGUACCUAAUCAGAAAGCCACGGCUAACUACGUG
rnacentral:rRNA from 1 species